CAAGAAUAGACCCUACGUGCCAUUCUAAACACUUGUUAUAUAACACAUGGUCUGUUUUAUAUUUAGUUCCUUGCUAUGUAUGUGAAUAAAUGACAAGGGAACAAUGUACUUAGAGUCUGGUGAGUUUUUAUUGACACAUGUUCAAAGAAAGUCAUAUAUUGUAACAAUUCACAGUUGAGUUUCAUUUAAGGACCUCCAGCCUCUGUGUGCAUGUGUGUGUGUGUGUGUGUGUCAUAGUUCUUGUGAUUCAGCAAUUGUAAAUAGUAGGAAAUACCCCAAAGUCGCACACUGUUACCAACGCAAGGAAAUGGCCUUAUGUAUCUAACUGUUGCUAGAGAUGUGGCUAGUUGCUUAUCAUGAUAAUGAUCAUAUGCAGCCUUAUUAACAACUUUCACCUCUGUACAACCAUGCCUAACUGUAACUGACACAUUUAACAGCUAAUCAUAGACCUCUAUCUCCUUACCUCAGGCAAUUGUACAUUUCAGACCUAUAAUCAUGUCAGAGGACAGUGGUAUAGAAACUGACAAUAGCGAGCUGAGCCUGGUAAGCUACACUCAUGAUUAUAUUAUACUCUAUACACAACGUGUUCAUAGACCAUGCUGACCAUAGACAUUUAGCUUGUACUGAUUCUAACACUCAACUCUCUUCCACAGGUGUCUACCAUAAGUCUGAGCCGUUCUGUAGGUACUCCGAUUGAUUGAGACUAACUAUGUUUGCUGUCCUGUCAUUCACUAUUGUACAAUAUAGCAUCUUUAUAUGUGAUAUAUUUCCCAUGCCUUUAAUACACAUUCAGGAGAGUGAUUACCUACUAUCGUCUGACGAUGAUGGACCUCGGAACCUUGUAUUGGAACAAGCUCCUCAAUUGUUGCCCCCAGAAGUCGUCAACCAUGACCAGCCUCAACCUCACCUAGCAUUACCUCCUCUUCCCCAGCUGAAUGUAGAAGAUGAUAUGUAUAUGGCUGAUGAUGAGGACGGAGAUUAUGAGGAUGGAGACGGUGAGGAUGUAGAUGGUGAGGAUGGAGAUGGAGAUGAUGAAGAUGGACAUGACUAGGUUGCAAUGUGUUGGGACCUGACUACACGGAACCCAUUUAUUCCUUUUUGAGCUGCCACUAUGUCCUAGUUUUGGUAUGGAUGUAUUUAAAUGUAAUAUACUCUGUAAAUAAAUGUGACCUGGUAUUCUUGCUCAGAAUAUUAUUGUCUUUAUUCACAUAAGGAUCUGAACAUUGAAUAAUACACCACAAGCACUUUGUAAUGGCACAUUUACCAAGCUAUAUGACAGUGAUUAUAUAUGCUCUCCACCUAUAUAUUUCCUACUCUAGAUAGUGUUUCUGGCAUCUGUCACACCUGGGUGACGUUCCAGGUCUUCG
rnacentral:lncRNA from 8 species